rnacentral:rRNA from 1 species
UUUGAAUAAAAGUAGUUAAGUUCUUCAUAACUCAAAGAAUUUGGCGGUUAAUUUUAUUUUUAGAGGAACCUGUAAUUUAAUUGAUAAACCACGAUAAAUUCAACCACUUUUUAGCUUGUAUACCUCUAUGGUUAUGGAUGUUUUUUAUAAAUAUUUUCUUUAAGAUUAAUUCUUUUAUUUUAGGUCAAGGUGCAGUUUUAUUUUGGUAAUUAUGGGUUACAUUAAUUUUUAAUUUUUAUUAAUUUAAUUUUUAUAAUUUAAUUUAUAUUGGAUUUAAAAGUAAAUUUGAUUAAUUAAUUUUUUUGAAUUUUA